GAUGAAGAACGUAGCGAAAUGCGAUACUUGGUGUGAAUUGCAGAAUCCCGUGAACCAUCGAGUCUUUGAACGCAAGUUGCGCCUCAAGCCAUUAGGUUGAGGGCACGUCUGCCUGGGCGUCACAUAUCGUUGCCUGAUGCCAGUUUCCUCGUGAUGGGUGACUGUGCAGGGCGAAUGAUGGCUUCCCGUGAGCAUUGUUGCCUCAUGGUUGGUUGAAAAUUGAGUCCUUGGUAGGGAGCGCCGUGAUAGAUGGUGGUUGAGUGACGAACGAGACCCAAUCAUGUGAGACCCCUACCGAAUUUGGCCUUCAUGACCCACAUGCGUCUUUGGAACGCUCAUGACGAGACCUCAGGUCAGGCGGGGCUUCCCGCUGAGUUUAAGCAUAUCAAUAAGCGGAGGA
rnacentral:misc_RNA from 1 species